rnacentral:rRNA from 1 species
GCUACAGGCUUAACACAUGCAAGUCGAGGGGCAGCAUGGUCUUAGCUUGCUAAGGCCGAUGGCGACCGGCGCACGGGUGAGUAACACGUAUCCAACCUGCCGUCUACUCUUGGACAGCCUUCUGAAAGGAAGAUUAAUACAAGAUGGCAUCAUGAGUCCGCAUGUUCACAUGAUUAAAGGUAUUCCGGUAGACGAUGGGGAUGCGUUCCAUUAGAUAGUAGGCGGGGUAACGGCCCACCUAGUCUUCGAUGGAUAGGGGUUCUGAGAGGAAGGUCCCCCACAUUGGAACUGAGACACGGUCCAAACUCCUACGGGAGGCAGCAGUGAGGAAUAUUGGUCAAUGGGCGAGAGCCUGAACCAGCCAAGUAGCGUGAAGGAUGACUGCCCUAUGGGUUGUAAACUUCUUUUAUAAAGGAAUAAAGUCGGGUAUGGAUACCCGUUUGCAUGUACUUUAUGAAUAAGGAUCGGCUAACUCCGUGCCAGCAGCCGCGGUAAUACGGAGGAUCCGAGCGUUAUCCGGAUUUAUUGGGUUUAAAGGGAGCGUAGAUGGAUGUUUAAGUCAGUUGUGAAAGUUUGCGGCUCAACCGUAAAAUUGCAGUUGAUACUGGAUAUCUUGAGUGCAGUUGAGGCAGGCGGAAUUCGUGGUGUAGCGGUGAAAUGCUUAGAUAUCACGAAGAACUCCGAUUGCGAAGGCAGCCUGCUAAGCUGCAACUGACAUUGAGGCUCGAAAGUGUGGGUAUCAAACAGGAUUAGAUACCCUGGUAGUCCACACGGUAAACGAUGAAUACUCGCUGUUUGCGAUAUACUGCAAGCGGCCAAGCGAAAGCGUUAAGUAUUCCACCUGGGGAGUACGCCGGCAACGGUGAAACUCAAAGGAAUUGACGGGGGCCCGCACAAGCGGAGGAACAUGUGGUUUAAUUCGAUGAUACGCGAGGAACCUUACCCGGGCUUAAAUUGCAGAUGAAUUACGGUGAAAGCCGUAAGCCGCAAGGCAUCUGUGAAGGUGCUGCAUGGUUGUCGUCAGCUCGUGCCGUGAGGUGUCGGCUUAAGUGCCAUAACGAGCGCAACCCUUGUUGUCAGUUACUAACAGGUUCCGCUGAGGACUCUGACAAGACUGCCAUCGUAAGAUGUGAGGAAGGUGGGGAUGACGUCAAAUCAGCACGGCCCUUACGUCCGGGGCUACACACGUGUUACAAUGGGGGGUACAGAGGGUCGCUACCACGCGAGUGGAUGCCAAUCCCCAAAACCUCUCUCAGUUCGGACUGGAGUCUGCAACCCGACUCCACGAAGCUGGAUUCGCUAGUAAUCGCGCAUCAGCCACGGCGCGGUGAAUACGUUCCCGGGCCUUGUACACACCGCCCGUCAAGCCAUGGGAGCCGGGGGUACCUGAAGUGCGUAACCGCGAGGAGCGCCCUAGGGUAAAACUGGUGACUGGGGCUAAGUCAUAACA